UCAUGUAGAAGCAUCCGGCCGGUUCAGCUUCGGUCGGGUGUGGAGUGCUGCUUGGGCAAGCGCUGCCGCAGGCUGAAUAGGGAUAUCCCGAAAGAAAGCGUCUGUG
ncrna:unclassified sequences drum RNA